GCUUUUAACACAUUUCUAUUAGCCUCUUUUUUUUUUGUAUAAAAAAAGAUUGCAACUUUUCUCCGCCACACAUCCAUAUAUUAUUCCUCCGUCCAAGGAGAAGCUAAAAUGUGAAAAAUAUUGCUGAGACGGCGACAUGCAUCUCGCGAGCUCCACAAGGACGAUCAUCACCUCAUCACAGACUGCAAAAAGCACAACCAAUGCUGCCUAAUUGACGUGCUUUUGGACUUAAAAGAAUGGGUUCCUGCUUUUUUUUGUUUGUUUUUUUGGUUCUGGUAGGAAAAAACGAGCCCCGUCGUUUUCAUGUCUCCCCUACUACGUAGUUGUAUCAAUUAACUAGAUAAAUCUUUCGAUCGGAUCUGUUCUUGAUGCAUCAACAGCUUGUAAUCACUUUUUAAACACGGUGAUGCGAUGGUAGAUUGAUGUAUCCUCAUCGGUCCAAAACCACGCAUAUGCAUGCACCACGGUCAAAACAAUCUUAACGAGAUUUUGUGCUUUAAUUUGUGGAAAGAAAAGACUGGUUCUCUGAAAUACAGUACGUAAUAAAUCGCGUGUCAAGUUUGGGCUCUCCGAUAGAUCUCCGUCCAUGCAUGGAAUUCAAUUCGAUCCACUAGCCAUUGUCCGCAAUUUAUUGGGUUUUUAAUUUAAUUUGAAUGGUAUGUACGGAUACAAAUUUUAUAGUAUAAGUAAAAAAGAAGAAGGGCUAGUUUCACAUUCUGACCGACCGACCGACCGACAUGCGUGCUCUGUGCUUUUUAGUUUAUUUAUUUAUUUAUUAUUCAUUCAUUCCUCCUUGGAAAGCAAUGUUACAUGCCAUGCAUUAACUUGGUCUCCAGAAUGUAUGGUCCAAAUUUGUUCCACGACUAGGAGACUUUUGUGCAAUGCACAAUGUGCA
rnacentral:lncRNA from 1 species